AGAGUUUGAUCCUGGCUCAGGACGAACGCUGGCGGCGUGCUUAACACAUGCAAGUCGAACGGGGCGUUUAUUUCGGUAAACACCAAGUGGCGAACGGGUGAGUAACGCGUAAGCAAUCUACCUUCAAGAUGGGGACAACACUUCGAAAGGGGUGCUAAUACCGAAUGAAUGUAAGAGUAUCGCAUGAGACACUUACUAAAGGAGGCCUCUAUAUAUAAGCUUCCGCUUGAAGAUGAGCUUGCGUCUGAUUAGCUAGUUGGUAAGGGUAAAGGCCUACCAAGGCGACGAUCAGUAGCCGGUCUGAGAGGAUGAACGGCCACAUUGGGACUGAGACACGGCCCAGACUCCUACGGGAGGCAGCAGUGGGGAAUCUUCCGCAAUGGGCGAAAGCCUGACGGAGCAACGCCGCGUGAACGAAGAAGGUCUUCGGAUCGUAAAGUUCUGUUGUUAAGGGCGAAGGAUGCUUAUUAUAAUACAGUAAGUAUUUGACGGUACUUAACGAGGAAGCCACGGCUAACUACGUGCCAGCAGCCGCGGUAAUACGUAGGUGGCAAGCGUUGUCCGGAAUUAUUGGGCGUAAAGGGAGCGCAGGCGGGAAAUUAAGCGGAUCUUAAAAGUGCGGGGCUCAACCUCGUGAUGGGGUCCGAACUGAUUUUCUUGAGUGCAGGAGAGGAAAGCGGAAUUCCCAGUGUAGCGGUGAAAUGCGUAGAUAUUGGGAAGAACACCAGUGGCGAAGGCGGCUUUCUGGACUGUAACUGACGCUGAGGCUCGAAAGCUAGGGUAGCGAACGGGAUUAGAUACCCCGGUAGUCCUAGCCGUAAACGAUGGAUACUAGGUGUGGG
rnacentral:rRNA from 1 species